UGGUCCGGAGCCUGUGUGGCCGGUUAGCCUGGUUCCGUACCCAAAACCCUGCACACUCCACCACUCCAUGACGGGUGUCCUAGUAUUUAAAACUAUAGUCAUGUGCGUCCAACGAACUGGAGGUCCGGUUUUGAAGAACAGGCACUUGCCUCCUGGGGGGUCCGAAAGCCAUGUAGCCGCUCAGCCUGGUCCCGUACUGUGAGCCUGCAUACUCCACCGCCCUGCGGCAGGUGUGUCUUAGUACUUGAAGCCACCAUCUAGGGGGUUCGAACGCACAACUUGCUUUCCCAGGCUAAAAUCCUGCAUACAUAUGUUAUUACAUUUUGCUUUCAAGCAAAUGUUAUUACAUUUCCUUACAAGCGGGACCCCAGCUCCAUUUCCACAGGAAUGAACUACCUCCACACCAGAAGGGCCACGAGAUAACAAACUCCAAGCGGCUCACCAUGUAAAGCCUAAAAUUUGUAUAAGGAAAAAAUAAUAAAAUAAAUAAAGAAAGAAAUAAAAUAGUAAAUUCAAAUAUCUCGAAUUAGACUUGAGUUUUGAAGAUUAGGCAAAUUCUUUUCAAAAAUCUAAGCAAAUGUGUUCUAUAAUAGGGAUUAAUUAAGAAAGAGACCCUUAGUCAAAUUAUCCUUUGUAGAAUGAAAAUAAUUGAACUAAAACAUCUGGAAUUUAUGUUUUUAAAUCAGUAAUAAAUAUUGUUAUCCAUUUAAUUGGAUUAUAAUUUAGAAUAUAUUUUUGCUUCCGUGUAUGCAUUUCAUAUUAGAAGCAUUUACCUAGCAAAUAAAAAACAACAAAAUUAAUAUAUGAAUAUAUAUUUAGUUCAUGCUGCAACAUUUCUUUUGUUUGUAGGAACUCAAAUUUGAAUUUGAUUUGAGCCAAAAUCUGAAGAAAAAAGUAGAAAAGAAAAGGAUAUGUCGUACCUUGCUUUAGACCCAAUUCCUCUACGUCGGCCCACAAUUGGAAACCUGAAUUUUAAUUUAUUUAUUCAUG
rnacentral:lncRNA from 1 species